rnacentral:rRNA from 1 species
ACUCCUACGGGAGGCAGCAGUAGGGAAUCUUCCACAAUGGGCGCAAGCCUGAUGGAGCAACACCGCGUGAGUGAAGAAGGGUUUCGGCUCGUAAAGCUCUGUUGUUAAAGAAGAACACGUAUGAGAGUAACUGUUCAUACGUUGACGGUAUUUAACCAGAAAGUCACGGCUAACUACGUGCCAGCAGCCGCGGUAAUACGUAGGUGGCAAGCGUUAUCCGGAUUUAUUGGGCGUAAAGAGAGUGCAGGCGGUUUUCUAAGUCUGAUGUGAAAGCCUUCGGCUUAACCGGAGAAGUGCAUCGGAAACUGGAUAACUUGAGUGCAGAAGAGGGUAGUGGAACUCCAUGUGUAGCGGUGGAAUGCGUAGAUAUAUGGAAGAACACCAGUGGCGAAGGCGGCUACCUGGUCUGCAACUGACGCUGAGACUCGGAAGCAUGGGUAGCGAACAGGAUUAGAUACCCCUGGUAGGAUAGCG